GAAAACAUUUCCUUCCAGCCCUGCAGAGUUAAAGUAAACAGCAGGGAAACAGGAGGGAGGUCUAGGCCCUGCAUAUCACCUCGGAGGUUCCCUGCACCACCCACCGCCCACGCUGCCAGAACUUCUUUCCAAAGCAAUUGCCAAUCAGACCAACUCCUUUCUGAACACUCGCCAGCUGCGCGAUGAUGAGGCCCUGAAUGAAAGCCGUGCCAGCGAGGACCCAGAGAAGGAAUCAGCAGUGUGACACCUGACUCAGUGCAGGGUGAGGAGCAGGAGGGUGUGAGAGUGGCUCCCCCUGUUCUGUGAGACUGGGGAGAGCCUGGAAAGUCUGUGCUCAGAGAUGAGGAGCCCUCUGGGAUGCACCAUGGGCCAAGAGGUUGGCGAAGACGUGCUGACCUGGAGGGCUCCAAGGUCACCUGGAAAGACUUAUCCUCUUCACAAUUGAAAACUUCAGCCAGGAGUUCAGGAGCAAGGUCUUGGAUGGAGCCACAGAACUGAAAUUAACACAAAAAUCGAGAGUGGCAGCUGUCCGUAGUGAUUGUGAUCAAAGAUGUGGGUGGGAUCGCCCAAGGCAAGCACAGAGUGGGAAGAGGAGAGGCCACUCAUGGAAUCAAGUGACGGGAAGUGAGGCUCCCAGCGAAAGACAGAGCGAGGUACACUGGGCCCACAGGCCGCCUGGGCAGCCAGGAGCAUGCUUGUCUGAUAAAGGCUGUUAUUACUGUUAUUUUUGUUAUCAGUGUGUUACUGUAGCAUAUCUGGAAAAUACUGCGGAGCAUUAUGAGUCAGAACCCCUCAGGGAGAAGCAGUGCUAACCUUUCGGUGACCUCUGUACAAUCAUUUUUUCUCCUCACUUCUCUCUCUCUCUAACGUGUAUACGUGUGUAUGUGUGUGUGUGUGUGU
rnacentral:lncRNA from 10 species